UUGAUAUUAAACUUGCUGGAGAGUGACUCCUCGAAAGGCCAAUGUAUGUUGUUCUCAGUAAAUCAAGGUGCUAAACUCUCAGUAGAGUGCUGUUACAUUGAUAUCAGAGCGUUCAUCCUGGUUAAAUUUGAGAAGAUGCAGCCGAAGAAACAUGAGGAGAAAGGAAAGGAUUCCGACCAGAUGUGACUGAUGUUCAGAAGGGAUCGGAUGUGUCCAUGAAGGAACUGGCAGAGAAGGUUAAUUUGAUGAUGCAGCAAAUGGAUGAGCAAUCGGUUGAGAAUUAGAAAAGCAUAGAGUUGAUGUUCCAUAACUUUGAGGACCAGAGGAGUGCAAGGAAACUCGCAGGGCAAUCGCAGGGCAAUCUCUGCCUUAUCUCGGGGAGCCUCAAUUCAAAGUAUGGAGGAAAUAAUUACCCACCCAAAACUGAAGUACCCAGAAGGAUUUGGGGAGUCUCUAGUGGAGAACAUGAAUGACGAAGGAGGACAACGUGUGAAAACAGAGGAAGGGUAUGCCAAUUGGAGUAGGUUUAGGUGGGUAGAGAUGCCGAUGUUUGACAGCUGUCAACCUGACUCUUGGAUAUUCAGGGCAGAAAGGUUUUUAAGCGAAAGAAAGAGUAGUAGCGACGCGAAAAGCUUCAGGCGAAUAGAGCAUACGUCAACUAGGCGACAAGAGGAAGGAUGCUAGGCGAUCUACAUUGCUAGAAGACAAAAAUGGAUGGCGUGGAUGUCAGAAAAGGACGAAAAGACGUCUACGGCAACAUGCAGCAAUGUCAUAGAAUUAAUGACAUCCAUACUAUGUUAAGUCCCAUCGGCCCUCGCCUAUAAAUACAAGGCUAUCUCCUCCAAACAAAUUGCGUGAAAUUUGUGGAGAACAAGCCUAACUUUAUCUCUUACCUUUCUUCUCCACUUUAGCUGAGAACUUAGAGGAGAGUCGAGAGAAGUCCAAACCCCAUUUUCCCCCUCAGUUGUAAUCGGCAAAAAUAGAGCCAAUGAGCAUAAGAAAUUGUGUUCAGAGGCUCGACUCAUUUCUUGUAACUUUCAUCUGUAUUUUCUAUUUAUUUGUGUUUGUAAUCUGAACCUCAUGGCCAAAAGGUAUAAAGUUUUCUGUAUGAAUGCAAAACA